CCCCCACAGGGGGAGGAUCUUUGCUUGGAGAUCCUUCCCUUGUGAGCUGAGAUCCUCAGAGAUGUACUGGGAUGGGUGCCUGGCAUUGCUGAGAAUGUGACAAGAAGCAAUUGGUCCAAGGCCACACAGUGAGUUGGUGGCAGUGGGGAGAAGAAAUUCAAUUCUGGCCCUCAGUCUUUCUAGCAAACCACCAGAUGACACUUAAAAAGCACUUCUGGGGAUGAAAAAUACGAUAUAAUUAUUGCUUCUAAUAUAAAUAUUUUCCUCUUAAAGUAAAGCUUUUCUUUUUUAUUACAACUGACUUUAUUAAGCCCAUGUGAUUGUCUUAGUUGAAGCUGUUACAGCAUGGAUCAUUGAAACCAUGUAAAACACUCAUGCUCUGUGUGUUAAAUGUAUGUAGUUAAAAUACAUUAUUUACUUCUGCAAAACAUAUUUUUAAAAAUAAAAAUAUUUUCUGCAAUUCACUUAAGACAAACAAGCAAAGAAAACAAAACACAUAGAAGAAAGGCCUUGAAAUUACCAGCUUACAUGCAUUCCACUAUAAUGAAAAUUCUUGUGGCUUAUAUUAGGAUUGAUGGAUCUUGGGCAGUGUCAUGUCCAAUUUUAAUCUCAGUCUCUCCUCGUACAGUCAGUGUUUGCCAGUAAAGUGUUGAGUGUAUUGUUUGUACUUCUGUUUUGUUUUGGUUUUUUUUGUUACUGGAUGAGUUUCAUGAGAGGAUAUGGCAAACUGAUAGCCAGUGCACAAAACUCAGUACCUUGGGAAAUCGCUUAGUAAUCCAAAUGUGAAACAGAAAACAAGAACAGAGGCAACAGUGAAAAGCUAUGAAAAGAUGGUCAAGAAUUCUUUAACUUCUGCUCAUAAACAGUAGUGUAGUAUGAUGUUUGUAAUUAAGAUGCUGGCAAGGUGAUCCUGCAAAUGCAAGAAGUGCAAUGAGGUUGGAAAUACACUGCCAUAAUUUUAACUGUUUAUUUGACACAUAUGCAUUCUGUUACUAGAACAACUAGACAAUGAUAAAAUGUUUGCAGAUGAAGAUCACUAGAACAGUAGAGUAGGAUGCCGCCUGAAAUGCAGCAUGAUAUUGAACCAAACCCUUUCGUGUCUUCCCUCAUACAAAAAACUUUUCUAAUUAUUACUGGAGUAAAUUAGGCCACUGGUUUGAUUGGUACCAGAUCAUGGCUUAGUUCCAGGCAACAGAAUCCUGAAAAGAAAAAAGGGUGUAGCUACAAAAGAAGGAAACAGACGUCUCAGAGUUGCCUGCAGAAGCCAAUAAUUUGCACUGUUCAUAUCAACAGGGGGCAGUGUCGGGAUGAUCAGUUUUUGUACGGGAAUAGUAGGCAUAAACACCAGAGACAAUUGGUUUUGGGUAGUCUGUUAUGAAUUGUAUUCACACCUGGUAAGGCCUUAUUGCCAAGAAUGGGUUGUAUUUGUAACAGUUUUCUUUUGAUGAAAAGCCUUGUGGAAUAGCUAUAAAAUGUCUCCCUGUAUUACCUUCAGCAAACACUUUUAGCUGUAUAAUAUCUCUUCAGAACACAGGUUAAGAAAAUUGUGUGAUUUUUUUAAAUGGGAACAUUUUUUUUUUCCUUUGUCAGGUGUUGUGAUUGUCCAAAAGAGGCACACUGUUGCUGUCAAAGUUUUCUUGUCUUUGUUUUCAAACAAAUCAGUUUUCUGAUUAACUGCGUUAUGGCAUUAGGUUAAUUGUUGCUGUUUUUUUUAACUGACUCUGUACAUUGCAUUAAUAGUCUUGAUAAA